rnacentral:rRNA from 1 species
GACGAACGCUGGCGGCGUGCCUAACACAUGCAAGUGGAGCGACGAACCGGACUUCGGUCCGGGGCAAAGCCGCGAACGGGUGAGUAACACGUGGGUAACCUGCCCCGAUGAUUGGGACAACCCGAGGAAACUCGGGCUAAUACCGAAUGUGCCCUACGGUCGCAAGACCGCUGGGGGAAAGGAAGCUUCGGCCUCCGCAUCGGGAUGGGCCCGCGGCCCAUUAGCUUGUUGGUGAGGUAAAGGCUCACCAAGGCCACGAUGGGGUAGCUGGUCUGAGAGGACGAUCAGCCACACUGGGACUGAGACACGGCCCAGACUCCUACGGGAGGCAGGCAGUGGGGAAUCUUGCGCAAUGCGCGAAAGCGUGACGCAGCAACGCCGCGUGGGGAAGACGGCCUCGG